UGGUACCCUGUUCUGCCACCCACUGGCAGUUUUUCUUCUCUUCCUCAGGGAGCCAACCUUGCCCUUCAGGGCCUUUAUGCCAAACAAGCCUACAUUGUCUGGAUCAAAAGGACGGAAGAUUACAGAAUAAAAACACAGAAAAAGGAGAAAAAGUCCCAGUGCUCAGCCCAGUGUUGGGCACAUUAACACUGGCCAAUGAUGUGAGUUGAAUUAAAUCAUUGAACAAGAGAAAAGAACCCCAUUCUGGAUAUCAGACAAAGUAAAGGAUUCAAAUACGUGAAGACUUCCACACUCUCUGUCUAAAGGACCAUCUCUACUUGAUGAAGUAAAUGGGUGAAAAAGAAACUUCUUUUUACUCCAUCUGACUCUGUAUGGACUUACUAUGUGUUGGGAAGUAUCUACUUACAAAUGCGAAGUAUUUUUAGAAAAGCCUUAUAAAUCAUCAAAUUCUCGAAAAUCACCACUUACCAGGGAAGAUGACAUAACAGUUGCAUUCGAUUGCGUUCCUUCGGUAGGGGGGUGAGCAAGUUAUUAUUCAACACUAGGUCUUAAUGAAAAUUCGACACUACGUUACACUUACGGUGUUUGAAGCCGAUGCGGAAAUGUUAGAAGUUUUCUUUUGGUAAAACAUAUGCAUUGGCCUGGUGAGUGGAAAUGAGGGGCUGCUUAAAAGAUUUUUUUACCCAAAGCUUUUUGGACACAUUGCUGUAACCCUGGGAGGCUUGGUCUGAGCCCUGAACAGCAGUUGCCCAGAUGCAGAAAAAAGGCUUCAAAACCUCUCCUUUGACAAAGAGACAUGAAAUAAUAUCUGACAAAGGCAUCGCAAGCAAACAUGAUGGCAAAUCAGCAAUUAUACAGGCGACAAAGGAGAGCACAUCUCACUUCCAAAUGUCUUUUUUCUUCUUCUUCACAUUUUACUAAUAACAUCUCAUAGAGGUGCUUAGGUCAGUAUUUUUAAAAACAAUUUAAUAUAUGACCGUGCUUUGGGUUUGGUUUAACUCCUUUAUUACACUAAUGCUAUUUGUCAUUUCAUGCAUGUGUCAGCAUUGUUUUUGAAUGGCAAAAAAAGGUUGGGAAGAAACCAAGCACAAAGAAAGACACUUGCAGCUCACUAUAGGUAACUUUGUUUUAGAAAGGAAUAAAUACUCCACCAAGAUAGACUAAACAGCACUGCUGUCUCUUAAAUGGAGUCGUAUGUGGAAGGAAGAGGACCUACCAUGAAUCAAAUAAUAUUGGUGAAGAAAAAAUGGCAGCAAAAUUGACCAGAUCCAAACUGCAUAGCUUCACUCUUUAAUCUCGAACUCUCUUGCUCUUGAAUUUGGAAAAUAGGUAAGAGAAAGGCUUUUAAAAAGGAGUUAUAAAGUUAAAUUUAAAUAUGAAAAUAUUUACCUUUUUUACCAAAUAACAUACCAAGAAAAAUUUACAUUUGCAAAAUUAAUUUUGAGCCCAUCGUAUAAUAAAUCAUCAUUAAAACUAUAUGUGCCCAACGAAUUCAAGCCCAGGCUUCAACCGGGAUGGAUAUGAAGGAAAACAAUAAUGAUAAUAAAAGUAAUAAUGAUAUCAAUAAUAAUAAAUGAGAUGGAACAUGUACUUCACAAAUAACUGCAAUACACAGUUCCUCAAAAUCUCUGCCUUUUUAUUGCAUAAUGAUCAAUCUGCUACUGAUCAAAGGUAUGCUGUACCUCAAAUAAGCAAAAUGCUCAUGGUGUGAAAUUAAUGACAUGAACUGUAAAUGAAAACAAAGCUACUUAGGCCUUUAAAAUUAUUUUCUUUCAUGUGGAUUCAUUGCAGAAAAAUAAUGAAUUGCAGCCUCUUCUUUCCUGACAUAUUUGGGAUAGUUCACAUGACUUUGAAAUGGCUUAAAUAUUUUACCACCCACUAUAGAAUGUUCUGAAGAGGGGAAGGAAAACGUGUAUUUGUUUUGCCGGUGGUCAUUUCUUACUGUCUCAUUCAGUAUGUAGGAGUACAAAAGGUAUACUGUUAAAAGGAAAUGAAGAGCAAACUUAGUCAAAUGUAUUUAAAUGCAAGAAUAUAAGGGAUAUAUUAGAAGAUGCUUGAUAACUAGAAAUCAAUCCAUUUACCUCAUGGUCUGUUAGUAUAAAGAUUCUGCAAGAUCUCAGAGAAUCUCGUGUACUAAUCAAGUUAAUUAGCUGUAGAUAAGGAUACUCUUAAAAUUAGGUCUGUA